AAAUUGAAGAGUUUGAUCAUGGCUCAGAUUGAACGCUGGCGGCAGGCCUAACACAUGCAAGUCGAACGGUAACAGGAAGCAGCUUGCUGCUUCGCUGACGAGUGGCGGACGGGUGAGUAAUGUCUGGGAAACUGCCUGAUGGAGGGGGAUAACUACUGGAAACGGUGGCUAAUACCGCAUAACGUCGCAAGACCAAAGAGGGGGACCUUCGGGCCUCUUGCCAUCAGAUGUGCCCAGAUGGGAUUAGCUUGUUGGUGAGGUAACGGCUCACCAAGGCGACGAUCCCUAGCUGGUCUGAGAGGAUGACCAGCCACACUGGAACUGAGACACGGUCCAGACUCCUACGGGAGGCAGCAGUGGGGAAUAUUGCACAAUGGGCGCAAGCCUGAUGCAGCCAUGCCGCGUGUAUGAAGAAGGCCUUCGGGUUGUAAAGUACUUUCAGCGGGGAGGAAGGUGUUGCGGUUAAUAACCGCAGCAAUUGACGUUACCCGCAGAAGAAGCACCGGCUAACUCCGUGCCAGCAGCCGCGGUAAUACGGAGGGUGCAAGCGUUAAUCGGAAUUA
rnacentral:rRNA from 2 species